UCCCAAAAAAAAACUUCCACAAUUCUCUUCUAACAUCCUCAAUUGCAAUUGCCGUAGUCAUUACAAAAAAUAACAUCCAAAAUGUAAAGAGAGCACAAACAAUUAAUCUUUAUAUUCACAUAUAUCAAUCAGCAAACCUAGAAAGACGUUAAGGGACACAAUUUACACAAUUGGUUUAUCAAACAUCACUCAAGAAACUCUAUUUUACUUAAGCUCUCACAAAGUAAAACAAAGUCUAAAUCAAACCAACAGAUAACAAUUGAGAUCAUUAAACUUCUAACCGAAUACUAUAAUACUAUAUGAAAUACAUCUUUAUAAUACUAUACAAUAUACAAUAAAUACAAACCGUACACAAUACAAUACAAACCGUGAUGAAUCAAACAUCAUUCAAGAAACUCUAUUUUAAUGAUGCUCUCACAAAGUAAAACAAAGUCUAAAUCAAACCAACAGAUAACAAUUAAGAUCAUUAAACUUCUAACCGAUCAUCUUUAUAUAUACGAAAUACAUGUUUAUAAUAUUAUACGAAAUAUAAUACAAUACAAUACAAACCGUGAUGAAUUAAAAAAUUUGUUAACAAUACAAUACAAGAUAUUCACAAACCGUGAUGAAUUAAAAAAAACACUUACGAGAGACAUGGAGAUUAAGGGGAUCUCGAGCCAGACAUGCUUCUUCUUCAUUUCUCCGAUUAGGUUUGUAUUCAAUCAGAGAGGUUUAUGUGAAUGUCAGGCAUGCUUCUUCUUUGUCUCUCCGAUUACGGUUGUAUCCGAUCAGGUAAAAGAUAGAGAUUCUAACUCCUGGGUAAUUACUUUGAUUGUGAUCGCGGAUUCUCUCAUCUCACUGUUUUUCUUCUUUUGCUUCCCCGAUUAGGUCAAGAUUCGGCCUCCAGAAUCACGGCUUGGCUGAGUAACACUUGAAGACACUUGAAAUUUAGGGUAUCACGGCUACUCAGCCUCCACCAUAUCUUCCCCUGCCUCCACGCCUUUGAACCCUAUCUCCACACCACAUCUGUGUGAUGUUGGGCUUUUGUUAUUCCUCAAAGCCCAAUUUAAUUAUGUGUCCCUCUUCUUCCUCUCCAAGUCUCUGUUGCCAACGGAUGUAGGAUAUGUUAAUCUUCGCUCACAACAAUUUCUUCAAAACUUCUGAUUUAAACCUCAGCUUCUUCAAUGGCCAUCUCACGUAUCCUUCUAAGUGAUUUGAAAGCCGGCCGCUGCUCUAACAAAGUGGAGAUGCGUUUGCUCGAUCCUGGGAAGCCCGUAAUGUGAAGAAAGGGGGAGAACUAAUGUGGAUUGAUUUACUCUUUGUCGACGAGAAGGUUAUGCCUGUUAAUCCUUUGCUCUAUAUAUCAUUUAUGUUUAUUUAAAAACGUUUGGAACAACUUCUGAUGAACUUCCUCUUCCAAUUUAGUCUAACAAAUAAAAUUAGCCAUGGUCACAACACCCGGAGGUCUCAAAAUCCUAGACGCAUCGUCUGAAAAAAGUCCCACAGAGAGUGUCACUAACAUUGUGAACAGAGAGAUAUUCGCAGCACUUGCAACAAGUAGCAAUGACGAUGUACAACAGGGAAACCGUGGUGAUCCCAAACGACCAAUUAAACAGCUACCCAGUGAAUGCAAAUGCUUCCUCAGAGUCCUAACCUCCGUUAUCAGCAGCAAACAACAACAAUUCUCCACCUUAUGCUGCCUCGUAGAUUACAGUAGAAUCAAAUCGGCGACAACAAUAAUAUCGAAAAACGAAAUCAAAAAACGAUUUCAAACAAAUACUCUUUAUAAAUAUAUAUUGAAUAAUUAAAAAGCCAUUAUCUACUACUUAUAUAAUUAAAUUGGUGUGAACAUAUAAAUAAAUUUAAUAAAUUGAAAAAAUAUUUUUUCUA